CCUGUAGCCUGCAUGUCCUUAGAAACGCCUCAUAGAGUAACUGUGGUUUUACUUUACUCACAGGAAGGACUAUUGCUAGAUCUGUGGGAAAGAACUACAAGACAGUU
rnacentral:snoRNA from 10 species